rnacentral:rRNA from 1 species
AUUGAACGCUGGCGGCAGGCCUAACACAUGCAAGUCGAGCGGGGUUUUCGGACCUAGCGGCGGACGGGUGAGUAAUGCGUAGGAAGCUACCCGAUAGAGGGGGACACCAGUUGGAAACGACUGUUAAUACCGCAUAAUGUCUACGGACCAAAGUGUGGGACCUUCGGGCCACAUGCUAUCGGAUGCGCCUACGUGGGAUUAGCUAGUUGGUGGGGUAAUGGCUCACCAAGGCGACGAUCCCUAGCUGGUUUGAGAGGAUGAUCAGCAACACUGGAACGGAGACACGGUCCAGACUCCUACGGGAGGCAGCAGUGGGGAAUAUUGGACACUGGGCGCAAGCCUGAUCCAGCCAUGCCGCGUGUGUGAAGAAGGCCUUCGGGUUGUAAAGCACUUUCAGUAGGGAGGAAGGGUGUUGUGUUAAUAGCGCAGCAUUUUGACGUUACCUACAGAAGAAGCACCGGCUAACUCUGUGCCAGCCGCCGCAGUAAGAC